rnacentral:rRNA from 1 species
UACGAAGGGGGCUAGCGUUGCUCGGAAUCACUGGGCGUAAAGCGCACGUAGGCGGAUCUUUAAGUCAGGGGUGAAAUCCCAAGGCUCAACCUUGGAACUGCCUUUGAUACUGGGGAUCUCGAGUCCGGAAGAGGUGAGUGGAACUGCGAGUGUAGAGGUGAAAUUCGUAGAUAUUCGCAAGAACACCAGUGGCGAAGGCGGCUCACUGGUCCGGUACUGACGCUGAGGUGCUAAAGCGUGGGGAGCAAACAGG